AGAGUUUGAUCCUGGCUCAGAGCGAACGUUAGCGGCGCGCCUAACACAUGCAAGUCGCACGAGAGGGGGGCAACCCCCGAAAGUGGCGCACGGGUGCGUAACACGUAGAUAACCUGCCCUUCGCAGGGGGAUAACGUUCCGAAAGGAGCGCUAAUACCGCGUACAGCAUUCUGGGGUUAGCUUCGGGAUGACAAAGGCUGGGAUUCGCAAGAACCAGUCGGCGAAGGAGGGGUCUGCGGCCCAUCAGCUAGUUGGUGAGGUAAUGGCUCACCAAGGCAAAGACGGGUAGCUGGUCUGAGAGGAUGAUCAGCCACACUGGUACUGGAACACGGACCAGACUCCUACGGGAGGCAGCAGUGGGGAAUCUUGGUCAAUGGGCGAAAGCCUGAACCAGCGACGCCGCGUGAGUGAUGAAGGCCUUCGGGUUGUAAAGCUCUGUGGGGCGAGACGAAAGCCUACGUUCUAACAGGACGUAGUUUGACGGUAUCGCCUUAGCAAGCACCGGCUAACUCUGUGCCAGCAGCCGCGGUAAGACAGAGGGUGCAAACGUUGCUCGGAAUCACUGGGCGUAAAGGGCGUGUAGGCGGGAAGGAAAGUCAGAUGUGAAAUCCCUGGGCUCAACCCAGGAACUGCAUUUGAAACUCCCUUUCUUGAGUGUCGGAGAGGAAAGGAAUUCCUGGUGUAGAGGUGAAAUUCGUAGAUAUCAGGAGGAACACCGGUGGCGAAGGCGGCUUUCUGGACGACAACUGACGCUGAGACGCGAAAGCGUGGGGAGCAAACAGGAUUAGAUACCCUAGUAGUCC
rnacentral:rRNA from 1 species